AGAGGGUGCGAGCGUUAAUCGGAAUUACUGGGCGUAAAGCGCACGUAGGUGGCUUGGCAAGUCGGGUGUGAAAUCCCCGGGCUCAACCUGGGAACUGCAUCCGAGACUGCCUUGCUAGAGUAUGGGAGAGGGAAGUGGAAUUUCCGGUGUAGCGGUGAAAUGCGUAGAUAUCGGAAGGAACAUCAGUGGCGAAGGCGACUUCCUGGACCAAUACUGACACUCAGGUGCGAAAGCGUGGGGAGCAAACAGGAUUAGAUACCCUGGUAGUCCACGCCCUAAACGAUGACAACUGGAUGUCGGGAGGGUUUGCCUUCCGGUGUCGUAGCUAACGCGUUAAGUUGUCCGCCUGGGAAGUACGGCCGCAAGGUUG
rnacentral:rRNA from 1 species